UGAAAUCUCGAAGCUCAACUUCGAAACUGCGUCUGAAACUACAGGUCUAGAAUCUUGGAGGGGGAAGGGGAAUUUCGCAUGUAGGGGUAAAAUCCGUAGAUAUGCGAAGGAACACCAGAGGCGAAGGCGCCUUCCUGGACAAGUAUUGACGCUGAGGCGCGAAAGCGUGGGGAUCAAACAGGAUUAGAUACCCUGGUAGUCCACGCUGUAAACGAUGAAUACUAGAUAUUGCAGGAUUUGACCCCUGCAGUGUCGUAGCUAACGCGUUAAG
rnacentral:rRNA from 1 species